UGCCUCUUGCCUCCAUCCCACAG
rnacentral:miRNA from 1 species